CCUACGGGAGGCAGCAGUGGGGAAUAUUGGACAAUGGGCGCAAGCCUGAUCCAGCAAUGCCGCGUGAGUGAUGAAGGCCUUAGGGUCGUAAAGCUCUUUUACCAGGGAUGAUAAUGACAGUACCUGGAGAAUAAGCUCCGGCUAACUCCGUGCCAGCAGCCGCGGUAAUACGGAGGGAGCUAGCGUUGUUCGGAAUUACUGGGCGUAAAGCGUACGUAGGCGGUUAUUCAAGUCAGAGGUGAAAGCCCGGGGCUCAACCCCGGAACGGCCUUUGAAACUAGGUAGCUAGAAUCUUGGAGAGGUCAGUGGAAUUCCGAGUGUAGAGGUGAAAUUCGUAGAUAUUCGGAAGAACACCAGUGGCGAAGGCGACUGACUGGACAAGUAUUGACGCUGAGGUACGAAAGCGUGGGGAGCAAACAGGAUUAGAUACCCUGGUAGUCCACGCCGUAAACGAUGAUAACUAGCUGUUCGGGCACUUGGUGCUUGAGUGGCGCAGCUAACGCAUUAAGUUAUCCGCCUGGGGAUACGGUCGCAAGNUUAAAACCUUAAAGGAAUUGACGG
rnacentral:rRNA from 1 species